rnacentral:misc_RNA from 3 species
AACGCACCUUGCGCUCCUUGGUAUUCCGAGGAGCAUGCCUGUUUGAGUGUCAUUAAAUCAUCAACCCCGAGACGUUUGUUCGCCUUGUGGGCUUGGACUUGGAGUGUGCCGGCGAAGGUCGGCUCCUCUCAAAAUCAUCAGCGGGAUUUCAGCCUCUGGGUUCCAGAAGUCGGUGUGAUAAUCAUGUUGCGCCGUCGUCGGAACCCUUCAAGGGCCCCGCUUACAAUCGUCCUCGGACAAACAUCAUUUGAAUUUGACCUCAAAUCAGGUAGGACUACCCGCUGAACUUAA